AAAGAAAAAUGAAAAUUUAAAUAUUCAUGGAUGUUUGAAUACACACAAUUAGAAACUAUUCAACGCCCAUAUAAGGCAAUUCAAGAUUUUCAAUUAAAAACUUGCUAAAUCUGCACCCUUGUGAUUCUCCACCUCCAUUACUAUAUAUGACCCUCGUUAGGUUCAAUGAAAAUUCUCUACCUCCAUCUCCAUUACUAAAAACAGAGACAUACAACACCAAAAUCUUCUUCUUCACCAACAUAUUCACUUUCACAGCAAAAAAAAACGAGAGGUUCUCUCUUAUUCGUACCGUUUUAGCAAACAAAUGGGUCGGAGAAAGAUCAAGAUGGAGAUGGUUCAGGACAUGAACACACGACAGGUUACCUUUUCAAAACGGAGGACUGGUUUGUUCAAGAAGGCGAGCGAGUUAGCCACGCUCUGCAACGCUGAGUUGGGCAUCGUUGU
rnacentral:lncRNA from 1 species